rnacentral:lncRNA from 1 species
AAGACUGUAAUGAUACGCUGAUACGCGGAAUACACAUCGACACUUGGGACCGUGCGAUUCUCUCAAAUCGCGCAGAUGCCCCCACCCAGUUCCACCUCUCCGAAACAACACCGGCACACGGAUAUUUAAGGAGGCCGCAAGCAGAGAUCCGACAGUCCCGAAACGACAGUUCUGGGCUCCAAAUACCAGCCAAGCGAAGUGAGACGUCUACCCGGAGGAGGACUUCGCUGCGACGAAUAGAACGAGAUAUUUUUUUUAUUUAUUUUGUAAAUAAUUAGACUGAAUAGAUUUAUUUUGUUUUAA